rnacentral:rRNA from 1 species
CAGUAGCCGCGGUAAUACGAAGGGUGCAAGCGUUACUCGGAAUUACUGGGCGUAAAGCGUGCGUAGGUGGUGGUUUAAGUCCGUUGUGAAAGCCCUGGGCUCAACCUGGGAAUUGCAGUGGAUACUGGGUCACUAGAGUGUGGUAGAGGGUAGUGGAAUUUCCGGUGUAGCAGUGAAAUGCGUAGAGAUCGGAAGGAACAUCUGUGGCGAAGGCGACUAUCUGGGCCAACACUGACACUGAGGCACGAAAGCGUGGGGAGCAAACAGGAUUAGAUACCCCGGUAGUCCCUGUCUCUUAUAC